UUCAACAACGGAUCUCUUGGUUCUGGCAUCGAUGAAGAACGCAGCGAAAUGCGAUAAGUAGUGUGAAUUGCAGAAUUCAGUGAAUCAUCGAAUCUUUGAACGCACAUUGCGCCCCUUGGUAUUCCAUGGGGCAUGCCUGUUCGAGCGUCAUUUGUAC
rnacentral:rRNA from 4 species